GGUUAUUUAUUUAUCAUCAGUUGUAGCAGUUCUUUAUGUAUUCUGGAACCAAGUCUAUUGGAUUCCAAAUACGGUAUUUUCUUUGUAUAUAUGGUAAAUAGAAUACUUUCUCUUUUAAGUCAUAAGAUAUAUUUUAAGAUAUUAAAUGACUAAAAUUAUUUAGGUCAUAAGUUAAAUAUUUUUUUCCUGUGGUGGUAUUUUUUAAUCCCUUCUUUCCACCUAGUCACUUUUUGGAAUAUCUGUAGCAAUAAUAGUAGGAACAGUAGAUGUGCCUUUGGAGUGAAAAUAAAUAGCCAUUUAAAACAUAGGCCUUUAUCAACAUUUAGUUCUUUCAAUUAGGAAAUGGAGAAUGAAUGUUUGAGUUUUUAAGGGGAAUUAAUUGAAUGAUAUUUUAUCAUUUAAGAUGAAAUCAUAACACUAGACACAUAGUUGUAUGUUUUAGGAGGAAAUUUAGUUUUUCUAUCUGUGCUUCUCAUGAAUAGGAGCACUUCUUGAGUACUCUGGGGUGAUUUAAGCCCUUUCCCACCAACUGUAGUCCGUUUGCUUUAUUAAUAUUUAUUUAUUUAUUUUUGAGACAGAGUCUCACUUUUUCACCCACUGCACUCUGACCUGGGUGACAGAGUGAAACCCUGUCUUAAAAAACAAAACAAAAUCCAAAUAUUUACACCUGUGUCAUCACCACCCAGAUCAUUGUUUAGAAUAUUUCCGCCACCUUAGAAAGUUUUGUCAUGCCUUUUUUUUCAGUCAGUCCC
rnacentral:lncRNA from 10 species